AUCCAGCUGACGAUUCCCAAACAGGACGAAACGCGCGUCCUGGAU
rfam:Schistosoma mattheei strain Denwood, Zambia genome assembly, scaffold: SMTD_scaffold0017754